AUGUGCUUUAUCUUUGCUGCCUUAGGGUUAUUCUAAAUAAUAAGAACAAAAUUAAUGAUCAUAAAAUUUGCUCUGGCUGGUCGGAUUGGCUAUGCCCAUCUUCUCUCACUGCCAUACGUUUCUGCCUUAGAGUUGCCUGUUAAAUGGAAGGAAACAGCUAUCUCCGAGGAGGCUAUCUGACAGCUUCCACUGGUCACCAGUACACCCAGUGCCUGCUUUGGAGGUGUUGUCCCUCUGACCUUUCCUCAAGUUUGACCUCUAACUACUUGACUACCCUAGGAUGCUGGCUGAACAGAAUUCCUGAACUCCAAGGGACCUAAACCAUGCAAACAGGCUCUAGUAAUUCCAGCCAAGAGGUGAAGACAGUGUAAACAGGCAGGACAGGAGGCACCUAUUUUCUUUCUGAGAUAAUUCCUUUCAGGGAGUCCGAACUAGUCAGUAAAUUAUGUUUGUUUGCAAAAAUUGCUUUACGUGUUUGAGCCUAAGCAUCCAGCUGUGCAGCAAGGACAUCAUAGAGCAUUGCAAUUAAAAGGGCCUUCAGAGCUCAUUUAGUCCUCCCAUCUCAUUUCACCAGGUGGAAGUCAGCAGUGGGGGAAGCGGAAUUCAAACGUUUAUAGAAGACUUAAUAGAAUUCUGGAGCUAUUUUCCUCCAGAGAACUCUGACGCAGAUCAAGGUACUUUUAAAUAGCCACCAUUUUCUGAUCGAUGCCUUCAGACGCAAGACAGCAAAUGUGAGGAGAGAAACAGAAGAAAAGUACACUAAAGCAAUGGACACAGAAGAAGAGUGACUAAGAAGAGCCUGCCUGAGUCUGUGUAGAUAAUUCCACUUGAAACAAAACCUUGUACACAGGAAACACCAUAAAAUAUUGAUGCUUGCCUGUGCAGUGACAAGGCCCUGAAUCGCUGCCCCGGCCAAGUAAUGCUCUGCUUUUGAACUCAGAGACCUCAUCUCCAGCAUAAGCCACAUGCUGUGCAGAAACCAGCAUUCCCUCAGCUUCAGGGACCCUCAGGUCCGGGUUGAAAGAUGCAUACCUGCACAGCAGGCAGGUAACAGAAAUGAGUGAAGUGGACUGGAAUCAAGAAAAAUCAGCACACAGGCUGUAUUGUUAUUGAACUUUAAUGUAUGCAGCUUACAUAUAAAUAUGUGUAAUAUCAGUUACAUUUGAUAUUUAUGAAAAUGCAA